UUCGGAAUAACUCAGGGAAACUUGUGCUAAUACUCUGGAUGAUGUCUUCGGACCAAAGAUUUAUCGGCAAGGGAUGAGCCCGCGUAGGAUUAGGUAGUUGGUGGGGUAAAGGCCUACCAAGCCGACGAUCCUUAGCUGGUCUGAGAGGAUGAUCAGCCACACUGGGACUGAGACACGGCCCAGACUCCUACGGGAGGCAGCAGUGGGGAAUAUUGGACAAUGGGCGCAAGCCUGAUCCAGCAAUGCCGCGUGAGUGAUGAAGGCCCUCGGGUCGUAAAGCUCUUUUACCAGGGAUGAUAAUGACAGUACCUGGAGAAUAAGCUCCGGCUAACUCCGUGCCAGCAGCCGCGGUAAUACGGAGGGAGCUAGCGUUGUUCGGAAUUACUGGGCGUAAAGCGCACGUAGGCGGCUACUCAAGUCAGAGGUGAAAGCCCGGGGCUCAACCCCGGAACUGCCUUUGAAACUAGGUAGCUAGAAUCUUGGAGAGGCGAGUGGAAUUCCGAGUGUAGAGGUGAAAUUCGUAGAUAUUCGGAAGAACACCAGUGGCGAAGGCGACUC
rnacentral:rRNA from 1 species